UCUGUCUCUGUCUCUCAAAAAUAAAUAAAUGUUCAAAAAAAGUAUUAGUCAGGGGAUGAAAAGAAACUAACUAGGAUUCCUUCAGCAACCAGGAGUGAACAGGGAAGAACUCAGCACCAAAUUCCCACAUGGUCGGACAGGAAAUAUGUAUUGAAGACCCACUCUUGGUUGCUGCUUGUGGUGGGCCCAAGUUCUUCUGAAGGAGGCCUGGUAGUGGCCCUGGAGCACUGGGGCACACACUGACCAGGUCUUCUUGGAGUCACUGCUUGGGAAUGCAGCCAAAAGUGGGUGGUAAAUGGCAUCUAAGGCUGGGGACUGAGUCAACAAGUACCACAAAGGAAAGUUGCAAAGAGCUUUGAAGAGAGUUCAAGAAUCAGGGGCUCGUGCAUAAGUCAAGGGCUCAUAGGAAAGUUGUCCUGGCAAAUGAAGGUGAAGGCAGGCACUGCUUAUAGGCCAAGGUGGAAUCUGGAGGCCUUUCUGUUGGUGGAGAGCACACCACUGCCCAUCUCACCUGUGGCGCCUAGGAGGUGGAGCAAGAGUGCACGUGUUAGUACCUGAAAGAUGAUGAACUAUGCUAGGGGAGGUUGAAGCCAGAGGACACUCUGGUGGAGGUCCCUAGAGGUCCUGACAUGCAAAUUGGUUGUCCAACUUGGGUAUAGGGGGAAAGACUAACCAAACCAUCUAGUAGCUGGUUCCCUCUGAAGUUUCCCGCAGAAUAGCUGGCACUCUUGCACUUGAACCCACACAGUUUUAUCUGUUAAAGCAAAUGAUUAGAGGUCUUGGGGCUGAAAGGAUCUCAACCUAUUCUCAAACAUUAAAUGGAUAAGAAGCCUGGCUCACUGGCGUGGAGCUGGGCAUGGAAUGUGAAUGCCUAGGAAUACUUUUGGUAACCAGAACUGAUGCUGCGGGAUGAACCAAACUCAGGGUUAAGGCACUGGUGCCGAAGUGCAUCAGACCCCAGAAAAGGGGUUGGUUGAUAUAGACAGCAGGACAGUGGCCAUGGAAGUCUGAAUUCUCUAAGGAGUGUGUAACAACUCACCUGCCAAUCAACUAACCUUGAAAAUGAAUGGCACUGGAGCUCGGGCCCAUACCUGGCCAUUGCUGGCAGUCAGUAAUGCGAGUGAGAGGGAUGGGAGCAGUGGGUGUGUGUGUGGUGGUUUCCCUUUUUGGGGGGCCAAUGCUUCCCCCACCCCCCACCCCAAGGACGCUAUGCUACAACAAGUAGGAAGGCUGCUGUGGUGAGCCUUGAAGCCUAGGGAGCUCCAGUGGAGCCCCAGGUGGAGCCACCACAAGUGCAGAUCUUGGUGAUAGUAGCAAAUAUUCAAAGGAGAACGUUGAAAGCUGAAGUGAAGAAGGAUUCCAUGUGAACAGCAGUUUGAACAUAGGUCAAUCGGUCCUGAGAGAUGUGCAAUGCCAUUCUGAAGCGACGGCUGAUGGCAUCCCUUGCCCUCAGCCAGUGGAAAGGGAGUCGGAGUCCAGUUCAGAUUCCCCCAAUCCAGAGUGGUGGAGAUGGGCAUCAUGAGGUGACCAGUGCAGUAAUACAACCCAUCCAGGAGAAGCCAGCAGGAGCCCUGGGGAGAGCUCUCUUUUCUUUGUAAGUGCAGGGUGCUCUGGAAUGGGUUACCCUGGAGAGAAGGACCCGGACCUUGGAAAGCAUCACGGUUCUGGCUGGCAUGGGUGAGCUAUCACUGGCCCUUGAAAAUCUGGGGGAGAGGGUGUAAAAUCUCAAGCCAGGCUGCACCCAUAUCUGCAGCAGGUCUCAAAGGUGAACAACCUCUGUCAUACUGGAACAAUGUAGGUAAGGGAAGUUGACAAGUUGGAUCCUUAACUUUGGAAUAAGGGCUGGGUUUUUUGGGCUGGGGUGUGAAGCAGGGCUGGUCAGGCGCAUGGCUAGACAAGACAAUGUCACCCACACACACAUCAGGGGCACCCCCCCCCAGGACCCUUCUCCACCCCACGCCCACAACUGCCCCUGAUUUCUCUCCCCCCUCCCUUCCUGGGGUGGAGUGUGGAGGUGAGGGUGGGGAUCCCCUCGGUGCCAGUGGGCCCACGGAUCUGGGCCCCUAGGGGGCCAGCGCCCCAGCUGCAGGGAGUGUCACUGCCUCACCUGGGAAGCCCGGCAUGGGCGGGGACUGACUCCCCCCUCUUCCUGGGGUUCAGAGCCUGCCCACCCUGCCUGUUGCCCCUGUGCCUCGGUUCUGUGUGGCUGCCUCAUUGAACCUCCGGCCUAGUAGCAGACUUAGAACUGGUGGAUACCAGGGAAAUCCAACUGUUUAAUUAAAAGAAAGCAUCAAGAAGGCCCUUGGUGGGUAUUAAGGCAAUGUGAUUUCUGCCCAAUGCUUUGAACAUCAAAGUGAAGAAAUUCAAUGAAGCGCGGGUAAAGGAAGGGAGUAACUAGGACUCCCUUAAGGUAGCCGGAUGCCUCCUCAUUUAAUUAGUGAUGUACAUGAAUGGAUGAACAAGAUUCCUACUGUCCCUACCCACUUUCCAGUAAAACCACAGCCAAGGGAACCAGCUUGGUGGAAUCAGUGGAGAAGAAGACCCUGUUGAGCUUGACUCUAGUCUGUCUGUGUGAAGAGACAUGAGAGGUGUAGAAUAAGUAGGAGGCCCUCAGCAUUCCCCUAUCCCCUUGAGGGAGGCAGGAUCUACCAGCUUUGCGGGAUGCUGGUGAAAUACCACUACUUUUAUCAUUUUUUUCACUGACCAGGUGAGGCGUGGGGGGGGGGGAUCCCCAAGGGGCUCUCACUUCUGGUGCCAAACACCUGGCCACAAUGGCUGGGUAAGACAGGCUCUGGGCACAGUAUGAGGUGGGGAGUUUGGGGUGGUACACCUGUCAAACAGUAAUGCAGGUGUCCUAAGGGGAAUUCAGGGAGGACAGAAACCUCCCAUGGAGCAGAAGGGCAAAAGCUCACUUGAUCUUGAUUUUCAUGCAUAAAGACCAUGAAAGCACAGCCUCAUGAUCCUUCUGACCCUUUGGGUUUUAAGCAGGAGGUGUUGGAAAAGUUACCACAGGGAUAACUGGCUUGUGGCAGCCAAGUGUUUAUAGCAACUCGCUUUUUGAUCCUUUGAUUUAGGCUCUCCCUGUCACCUUGAAGCAGAAUUCACCAAGCCUUGGAUUGUUUACCCGCUAAUAGGGAAUGUGAGCUAGGUUUAGAUCCUGGUGAGACAGGUUAGUUUUACCCUACUGAUGAUGUGUUGUUGCCAGGGUAAUCCUGUUCAGUACCAGAGAAACUGGAGGUUCAGACAUUUGAUGUAUGUGCUUGGCUGAGGAGCGAAUGGGGUUUCCCGGGGCCUGAGGCGACCAGCUGCCCAAAGUCCUGG
rnacentral:rRNA from 1 species